GUGAAUAGAAUUGCAGACAAUGGGUGGGGCUGGAUGAAAGGAUCUAAAUUUUAAUUAUAGACACUGGUAAAGACCCUUCAGGCUCUUCUCUCUCAGGAAUUGAUUGCAAGAACAAGACUCAUGCAUCAAGGAAUUAGAUAUCUACACACUACCAACUACUUCCCAACCAUCCACACAAUCAUUAAUUACUGUUCUGGCAAUAUACUAAAAAUGGAAGAUUUGCCUACUUGGGAUCAGACCCUGACAGUCCAAGUUGUAGUCUCAUACAGUAAAACAAUAACAUGGCAAAAAGGACAAAGAAGGUUAAAAUACAGUGGACUUUAUGGUGCCUCACUACAUAAAAUUGUAAAAAUGGUUUUGUUUGUGCUGCUGCUGUAGAAGCUGCUCCUCCUCCAACUGCCUUUUAAUGUCUCUAAGGAGCUUUAUCAUUUCCAUGUUGAGAGCCAUGUGUUCUUCCCAUUGCAGAUUAUUUUUAUGUCUAUCAGUGAAGUAAGCUAUGCACUAGAUUAAUUUUGAAUAAGUUCAGUCUUUACUUACCAUCACAACACAUACGAAUGUUUCAGUAAUUAAGAUGAAAAUGCCAACAUUAACAAAAGCAAUGUACUUACUUGACUCCAGGCCUGAAUCUAUUGCUGAAUGGCUAAAAGCAAAAAAAUUAAUGUAGUGAUAGUAAGGUUCAUAAACUUAUACAUGUACAUGUACUAAUUUUUAGACACAAUUUUGAGCAAACAUACCACUAAUUAGGUGUAAAUGUGCAUGUAGAUCUAUACACAUCAUUGAAAUGACAUACAAUGUGCUGUGUACAUUACUAUUAUCAAUAUUGUCCUCCAAAAGGUUAUUACAUUAGGAAGGUUGUAUCUAUUAGCUUGGGAUUGCUCUCGGCUUAUCUCAGUAUUCCUGUUGUACAGAAUCUUCUCUCCAGUAGACAACAGAUGAAUACUAGCUUACCAUUGAUGAUUAUCAACACAUACGGAGCUUUUGGCAGAUUCCAGCUGAACAAUGUCAGACUUAUGCAUCAGAAGUUAAUGCCAUAUUUGCAGAGAUUAGUGCCCUCACUGCUAGGAAUGUUGAGGAAAUGUUCAUUGAAAUAACUCUAAGUUACCACCAGAUUGUUUAACUAGUUUACCAGCUGGUGCCUCUCUCUUAAGACAAACUGAUACACCACGUGCUAAGGGAGGAUGCUGUGGAGGAGGGGGAGGGGACAAAGGACCA